ensembl:lncRNA
UUUUUGUACAGUGAUACCCUCCAUUCACACUGGUUUAUCUGUCUUUAAGUUUUGAUUUUGAUGAAUGCUAGUGUGAUGGAGUUUAAUGGAGAAUGCUUGUAUCUGAUGGAAUUUAGUGGAGAAUGAUUGCAUCUGAUGGAGUUUAAUGGAGAAUACUGGGGUCUGAUGGAGUUUAAUGGAGAAUGCUGGUGUCUGAUGGUGUUUAGUGGAGAAUGCUGGUGUCUGAUGGAGUUUAAUGGAGAUUGCUGGUGUCUGAUGGAGUUUAAUGGAGAAUGCUGGUGUCUGAUGGAGUUUAAUGGAGAAUGCUGGUGUCUGAUGGAGUUUAGUGGAGAAUGCUGGUAUCUGAUGGAGUUUAAUGGAGAAUGUUGGUGUCUGAUGGAGUUUAAUGGAGAAUGUUGGUGUCUGAUGGAGUUUAAUGGAGAAUGCUGGUGUCUGAUGGAGUUUAAUGGAGAUUGCUGGUGUCUGAUGGUGUUUAGUGGAGAAUGCUGGUGUCUGAUGGAGUUUAAUGGAGAAUGCUGUAGUCUGAUGGUGUUUAGUGGAGAAUGCUGGUGUCUGAUGAAGUUUAAUGGAGAAUGCUGGUGUCUGAUGGAGUUUAAUGGAGAAUAUUGGUGUCUGAUGGAGUUUAUAUGGAGAAUGCUGGUGUCUGAUGGAGUUUAAUGGAGAAUGCUUGUAUCUGAUGGAGUUUAAUGGAGAAUGCUGGUGUCUGAUGGAGUUUAGUGGAGAAUGCUGGUAUCUGAUGGAGUUUAAUGGAGAUUGCUGGUGUCUGAUGGUGUUUAGUGGAGAUUGCUAGUGUCUGAUGGUGUUUAGUGGAGAAUGCUGGUGUCUGAUGGAGUUUAGUGGAGAAUGCUGUUGUCUGAUGGUGUUUAGUGGAGAAUGCUGGUGUCUGAUGGAGUUUAAUGGAGAAUGCUGGUGUCUGAGUGAGUUUAAUGGAGAAUGCUGGUGUCUGAUGGAGUUUAAUUGAGAUUGCUGGUGUCUGAUGGUGUUUAGUGGAGAAUGCUGGUGUCUGAUGGAGUUUAGUGGAGAAUGCUGUUGUCUGAUGGUGUUUAGUGGAGAAUGUUGGUGUCUGAUGGAGUUUAAUGGACAAUGCUGGUAUCUGAUGGAGUUUAGUGGAGAAUGCUGGUAUCUGAUGGAGUUUAGUGGAGAAUGCUGGUGUCUGAUGGAGUUUAAUGGAGAAUGCUGGUGUCUGAUGGAGUUUAAUGGAGAAUGCUGGUU